rnacentral:lncRNA from 10 species
AAAUAAGCCAGGUACAGAAAUACAAACUUCACAUUUUCUCACUGAUUUGUGGGUUCUAAAAAUCAAAACAAUUGAACUCAUGAACAUAGGGAGUAGAAGGAUGGUUACCAGAGGCUGGGAAGGACACAGCAGAAGUACAGAGAAAUGUGCUAGGAAUACGUUUUUGAAAAAGAAGACAUUGUUAUUGGAGUUCUGAAUGUAACUUUAAGACAACUAAUCAAAUAAACAGUUAAAAUCAGUGAAACUUAGAAUUCAUUCCGAGAAGCAAGACUUAUAAAAUAUGCAUAACAGAAGUUAUCUUAUUCAUAAUUUGGGAAAGUGUACAUACCAUGUUCUCCUUUGGAAGAUUCACAAUGUGAAUUUAACUAAAGCAUCUGCAAAGUCCUGUAACAAAGAUAACAUCUAUCAGUGUUUUUGAAAACAUAUUAUUUUUGUCCAAAAUGUGUGUUCCUCAGUCCCGACAGGUUCAUAAGACACUGUAUAAAAUUCUUUCAGUGAGACUAACUUUGUCAGAGUCCUUAAAAAAGAAUUAUUGUAGUAGGAAUGAUCAAAAGGAGAAGGAAAGGUACAUUUAGUCUAAUUGAAAGUACAGAGGAAAAACAAAAAAAAAUAGUUAUGGUCUAUAACUAUAUAACUAAAAUAUGGUCUCAAGGAUCCUAGCUGCCAGUAAGGGUCCCUCCUCAACAGAGAUGGCUGAGAGGCCCUGCAGCAUGUGGGACUUACUACUGGGCUUGGAGUCGAGGUGUCCCAGGUCAGCUUAAUUUUGGGAAAAGCUGGUGAGAAGCUUGGUCCAAAUCACCUGAAAAGAAAAUCACUUGCAUAGUUCACCUGAAGAACGGAUCUCUAUAAUGGAAGCAAAACACAAUGCUGGACAAAAAUCAAAUAAACAAAAGCAACAAACUGAAAAGGAAAUGCGGAGUAAAAAAGAACUUAAAAAUUAGAAAAAUAAAAGAAAAAAGAGCAAGAAGAACCAGUAACCUCAGCCAAGCCAGGGACUUAUAUAUGUGCUUGGAAUUCCAAAGUAGAGGUUCCUUAUGAGGAAGAACUAAGCCUAGUAACAAGGCUGAGGAUAAUCUAUGUGGCUUUCUCAUGCUUUGGUCUCAAGAACUCUUUACUCUUAAAGAAAAUAUUUUGAGGACCACAAAGAGGAUUUUUUAUUCAUAUGGGUUACAGUUAUCAAUAUUUACCUUAUUAGAAGUUAAAACCUCUAGGAUGCUUCAAAAAAAAAAAAGAAAUUAUGGAGGAAAAAAAGUACAGUAUCAUGCAAGACAAGAAUAGUAAAGAGGGGGACAAUUAAAACUCAUCAAAUAAAUGGGCUUACUGGAGAAUGAACAAAUUUGACAAGGGUCGCUACCAGAAAUUAAAGACUUUUUCAAAUUAACAUAUUCAUUGAACUUAAAUGCACCUUUGUGCACCUGUGUGUUUUAGGUUCUAUGCUGAAUACUAAGGAUAUCCAAAUGAAUUAAUGCUGAUCUGUUUACAAACUAGCAAGGGA